rnacentral:rRNA from 1 species
UGGCGGCCUUAGCGCGGUGGUCCCACCUGACCCCAUGCCGAACUCAGAAGUGAAACGCCGUAGCGCCAAUGGUAGUGUGGGGUCUCCCCAUGCGAGAGUAGGGAACUGCCA